AUGUUCUUCUCCCGCGCGAAGGCACAGCCGUGCCGAAGCACUGAUUCCAAUCAGGAUCGGCUCAGGGGCAACUACACCAUAGCCGGCGUCGGCUCCGAAUUCUAUCUGAUCGAUAAAAAAUCCAGAGGCUUCGGCAACCUCUCCGACUCCGACGGGAACAACACCCAGGUGUUGUCCAUCGUCGAUCAGUCGAUACGACUCUGGCAACUUCGACCCGACGGCGGCGACGGGCUGGAGGUCGAUGGGGCGUCCUUCAGCGCCACCGUGGCAUAUCAGCCGCUGUCCAGCCGGGAUAGCCUCGCCUUCCUCAUCCUCCCGUCGAUGCUAAACACCUCCUUGCUGAUGAUGGAACUGAUGGCCAGAGAUGAUGGCCCGCUCGUCCUCACCGGAGCCGGUAGUCCAGAGGCUACAUCUCGGAGCGCCGCAGUCUCCGGCAGCACCGUCUCUAUCAGGAUUGGCGUGCUGUCGAAUCUCUCGAUCACGGAGCACUACUAUGAUGACAUCAUGGUUGUCGAUAUCACUAUCGAUCGGGUAGCAAACAAAUACACCGUGUGGAUCGACUACGACAGUGCGGGGCGCAGCCUGUCGGUCUACGCGGACGUCCAAGCCAAUCCCAAGCCUGACAACAUCAUAGCUGAGCUCCUCCCUUACCCCUACAUCGACAUCGGUGGAGGCCUGUCAAGGAAGGUGACCAUCCUGUCCUCCGUCCUCGGAUCCGUAGCUACCACCGCAGUGAUGGCCGUCGGCCUGGCGUGCUACUUCAACUCGAGGUACCGGCGGUGGCACAAGGACCUGGACCAACUCGCGAGAUCCAUGGAGCGCCUCCCCGGGGUGCCCACCAAGGUGGAAUUUGCUGACAUCAAGAAGGCCACCGGUAACUUCCACGAAGCCAUGAAGCUCGGGGGAGGUGGGUUCGGCACCGUGUACAGGUGCACGCUCACGGCCUCCGCUUCAAAGACGGAGCGACCGAUGGAUGUCGCGGUCAAGAGGUUCACGCGCGAUGUGCAGAACCGCUGCUACGACGACUUUCUUGCCGAGGUCAGCAUCAUCAACCGGCUACGCCACAAGAACAUCGUCCCCUUUGUCGGGUGGUCUUAUAACAAAGGAGAGCCACUACUUGUGUUCGAGUUCAUGACCAACGGCAGCUUGGAUCAACAUCUCUUCCCCAAAGUGAGCAAUGGCACCGGGCUACAACAGGCGCAACGCACUGGCACGGCCAUUCGGCAAUGGGCCACCCGCUACGGAAUCGUCAGGGACAUUGCUACCGGCCUUCACUACGUCCACCACGAGUACGAGCCGAUGGUGCUCCACCGUGACAUCAAGGCGAGCAACGUGAUGCUAGACUCUAGCUAUCGGGCACGCCUCGGUGACUUUGGCCUGGCCUGCACCGUGGAUGUGGGUCGGAACUCCGCCACCGGCGUUGGUGGCACGUGGGGCUACAUUGCGCCGGAGUACGCCAUGUGCGGCAAGGCGACGCGGCAGACCGACAUAUACGCUCUCGGGGUACUCAUCCUUGAGGUCGUCACCGGCCAGCGGGCGCUGAUUCGACAGACGGUGGAUGAAGGCGACGCCCAAAUCACAGAUAGAGUGUGGCGCCUCCACCGUGAGAGGAGGCUAAUGGAGUGCGUCGAUGCCGUGCUGAUCGCAGGUUCUUCUCCGGAUGAGGACCCGCAGCAUGCUGGAGGUGAUGUCGAACGUCUGCUUCUUCUGGGCUUGGCGUGCAGCAGCCCAAACCCGUCAGACCGUCCGAGCAUGCCCGAGGUGGUGCAGGUCAUCGCCAAGUCAGCACCGCCGCCGGAGGUGCCGCUCAUGAAACCAAUAUUCAUGUGGCCGCCGCCGGAAGGGGCAGCCUGGGGCGCUGAUGAUAGCACGGGCACAUGGAUGAUGAAUAAUCUCGACGGGAGUAUCACGAGCACCGAGCGUCAGUCGCAGUCGCUCACAGCGGUGUCGCACAGGCGGGCUACCGGAGGACAUGCCUCGUUUCAACUGGAGCCAUGA
rnacentral:rRNA from 1 species